rnacentral:tRNA from 1 species
GUUAGUUUAGCUUAAUGGUAAAGCACUUGACGCGUAAUCACAGGGAAAUGAGUUCGAGUCUCAUGGCUGGCU